AGGGAACCAUUGGGUCAGUAAUUACUUUUGCUUUAUUUCCCUAUGAUGACUUUACAAGGGCAACCCGCUGGCCCGGGAUAGCCACUACGUCACUGCAAUCAAACAGGCCACUUCUGUGGAGACCCUGGACGAUGUGCUUCUCAGGGACCCACCUCGCUGCUCAGCCUUGUCUUUGUUCAGCUGGUCUCUUCUCAGAGAAGCAGCGGCCGGUUCAAUGGACUCAGGUCAGACCAAGGAGGAUCUGAAAAAAUCAGCUAGGAGGAUCUUCCUGGAGAGACUGCAGCAUAAGACAGAGAGCACUGAGUGUCGCUGUACAUCACUUGCACCGCAGAAUGCUGGACCUGCGGGAAGAGCUGAGAGAAUACGAAGAAACCUUCAGAACAGAAGUGGAUGGCUGCAUAAGGUACAUUGACACUCUCCCAUCUGAGGAUUUCCAGGGCUUGGUUAAUCCUCAGGAGAUCCCGAAUGCCAUGGAGAAGUACCUGUUCACCAAGUUCUGGGAGAGAUGGCAGCAUGGCAGAAGGAAGCCGGCCAAUAUACCCUACAAGGAGCUGACCAAACCCGAGGAAGUGAUUAACGCUGCGGUUCAGCUGCUUUCGAACCCACCACUCCAUCCACCUCCUGACGAUGCCAACAUCUGAUGCCAUUUCUGAUACCUGAACUAUCAAGACGAGUGUUAGGCAGAAAUUGAUGAGAUCCCAUUCCUCCCUGGUCUAGCUGAGUGGCUUUGCUGCAAGGAUUCCAUGACAGAGGCGUGGGAGGCCAUUCGGGCGCCCUGUUCACCUCGCGUGGUUGGGUCUCUCUGGAGUUCCGCACAGCCUUCUUCAGUCCCGACUAACCUAAGUCAUUUUGCAUCAGCUGCAGACUUUAUCACCUCAUUGCUCAGCCCCCCUUCCAGAUAUUCAUAGAUAUGAAGACCAGAAGGGACCAUUAUGAUCAUCUGGUCUGCCGUCCUGCAUAACACGGGCUUGGAUCCUCACCCAAUAGUUUCUGCAGCAAGACCACAUCACUUCCGCUUGAGCUGCGGCAUAUAUCUUACCAAGACAUCCCGUCUUGAUUUAAAGACUUGACAUGAUGGAGAAUCCACCACAGCCCUUUGUAAGUCGUACCAGUGGUUGCCCUCGCUGUUAAAAACUUGCGCCUUAUUUCUAGUGGUAAAGGAGCUGCAGAGUGUGCCAUCAUUAACCUUUUGCUAUGCUGCGCAUGGAUCACUUCUUCCUGCUCUUUGUUCUCUGCCUUUUGCCCACUUUCAUAGAAUCAUUCUAAUCCCUGACUGUGCAUUUGCCCCUCUCUCUCCAUGACUACAGAGGGCUUGUCUGGGAAAUUGACUAGCAUAGGUAUAGCAGAAUAAGGGCUUGUCUGCACUACCGCGCGGGGUCGAUCUAAGAUACGCAACUUCAGCUACGUGAAUAGCGUCGCUGAAGUCGACAUAUUUAGAUCUACUUACCGCGGUGUCUUCACUGAGGUAAGUCGACAGCUGACGCUCUCCCGCGACUCUGCUUUCGCCUCUCGCCCUGGUGGAGUACCGGAGUCGACGGGAGAGCGUUCGGCGGUCGAUUUAUCGCGUCUAGACUAGAGACGCGAUACAUCGACCCCCGCUGGAUCGAUCACUGCCCGCCGAUUCGGCGGGUAGUGUAGACA
ensembl:lncRNA